CCCAGGUCAGCGAUCUGACAAAAAUGAAACAAGGUCAUUAACGAUUAAAUUAGACAUUUUUAAAUGGACCUACAUGAAUGUUUAUGUUCAUUGAGGAGCAUAUGGUAAACAUGAAUACGGUCUAAUUACUUCUGUGAUUUGGUUACUUCUAACACUUACCUCUAGGGGGAGGUUGCUCGGUGGCGGUUUUCCUCCCCUUUCCUCUGGGCUUGCUGGUGUUCAGGAUCACGGCAGAGCCAGAGGUGACUGUGUAUGAACUGAUGGCAGGAUGUGGUCUUCGCAUCAGGAAGCAGAACCAGAGAUUAUUAGAGAUUCUCACUGUGGAUUUGAGAAAGGAAAUGUGCAAGAUGAGUCAGGACUACAUGGAAGCCAUCAAAAACUACUAUGGUAUGUUAAAAAAAAAUAGGUUACCCAAAUAA
rnacentral:lncRNA from 1 species